ACUCCUACGGGAGGCAGCAGUGGGGAAUAUUGCACAAUGGGGAAACCCUGAUGCAGCCAUGCCGCGUGUGUGAAGAAGGCCUUCGGUUGUAAGCACUUUCAGUAGGGAGGAAGGUAGUGUAGUUAACACCUGCACUAUUUUGACGUUACCUACAGAAGAAGCACCGGCUAACUCCGUGCCAGCAGCCGCGGUAAUACGGAGGGUGCGAGCGUUAAUCGGAAUUACUGGGCGUAAAGCGCAUGCAGGCGGCCUGUUAAGUCAGAUGUGAAAGCCCGGGGCUUAACCUCGGAAUUGCAUUUGAAACUGGCAGGCUAGAGUCUUGUAGAGGGGGUAGGAAUUUCAGGUGUAGCGGUGAAAUGCGUAGAGAUCUGAAGGAUAACCAGUGGCGAAGGCGGCCCCCUGGACCAAGACUGACGCUCAGAUGCGAAAGCGUGGGGAGC
rnacentral:rRNA from 1 species